UACGUAGGGUCCGAGCGUUGUCCGGAAUUACUGGGCGUAAAGAGCUCGUAGGUGGUUUGUCGCGUUGUUCGUGAAAACUCACAGCUUAACUGUGGGCGUGCGGGCGAUACGGGCAGUCUUGAGUACUGCAGGGGAGACUGGAAUUCCUGGUGUAGCGGUGGAAUGCGCAGAUAUCAGGAGGAACACCGGUGGCGAAGGCGGGUCUCUGGGCAGUAACUGACGCUGAGGAGCGAAAGCGUGGGGAGCGAACAGG
rnacentral:rRNA from 1 species